GAAAUGCGAUAAGUAGUGUGAAUUGCAGAAUUCAGUGAAUCAUCGAAUCUUUGAACGCACAUUGCGCCCCUUGGUAUUCCAUGGGGCAUGCCUGUUCGAGCGUCAUUUGUACCCUCAAGCUCUGCUUGGUGUUGGGUGUUUGUCCCGUCUCCGCGCGUGGACUCGCCCCAAAAUGAUUGGCAGCCGGCGUACUGGUCCCGGAGCGCAGCACAUGUCGCGCAAACGAGUGCCUUGGUACGGCGGCGUCCAUAAGCCCCUCUCUCACGCUCUUGACCUCGGAUCAGGUAGGGAUACCCGCUGAACUUAAGC
rnacentral:misc_RNA from 1 species